rnacentral:rRNA from 1 species
GACGAACCGUGCGAACGUUAUUCGGAAUCACUGGGCUUAAAGGGUGCGUAGGCUGCGAGGAGGGUGGGGUGUGAAAUCCCUCGGCCUAACCGAGGAAUUGCGCUCCAAACCGCCUUGCUGGAGUGAGACAGAGGUGAGCGGAACUAAUGGUGGAGCGGUGAAAUGCGUUGAUAUCAUUAGGAACACCAGAGGCGAAGGCGGCUCACUGGGUCUCAACUGACGCUGAUGCACGAAAGCUAGGGUAGCGAACGGG